rnacentral:rRNA from 1 species
UACGUAGGGCGCAAGCGUUGUCCGGAAUUAUUGGGCGUAAAGAGCUCGUAGGCGGUCUGUUGCGUCCGCUGUGAAAACUCGGGGCUUAACCCCGAGCCUGCAGUGGAUACGGGCAGACUCGAGUCCGGUAGGGGAGUGUGGAAUUCCCGGUGUAGCGGUGAAAUGCGCAGAUAUCGGGAGGAACACCAGUGGCGAAGGCGGCACUCUGGGCCGGUACUGACGCUGAGGAGCGAAAGCGUGGGGAGCGAACAGG